CAGCUGCACCGGUAUUCCCCAUAUUCUAUUUUACUGUUAUUACCUCGAGUAACAGUAAACUCUACCGGCACCCUCACAGACAUUUCUUUUCUCAUGACAUUAACAGUCAGUUUUGUAUGUGGUGGGAUUUUGACAGGUAGGUUGAGUUCGGUCUUCUCCUUUGUAGUUGUAGAUUCGGUUUUCCCUUUUUCAACAGUGAAGGUGUUGGAAACCGAGAUGCUGGUCUCCAUUCCUACACCAGGCACGAUAUCAAGGGAGAAUGUGGUACCGACAGUAAUGGUGGUGGAGUUGCUGAAGGUGAUGCUCUGGCUGACGUAGGUUUCAUACUCUUUGGUGGCGGU